AUAAUAUAACUUUAAAAAAAUUUACCCAUUAAAUAAUUUUAUAAUUUUUCAUGAAAACUCUCAUUGACAACCAAUUACCAAACAAUAAAAAAAAAAUUUGGUGAAAGUUUUACUUAUGAAAUCUCUAUUUAUAACACUUUUACUUAAAUAAACUCUAUUUGAAAAGUUAUACCAAACAGAGCCUAAAUGAUGAUCUCUAUAACAUUAUAAUUAUUUGAUCAAGGUUUGUUUUUAUGAUUAAUAAUGGGAGAUCAUAAGAUAAUUGCUGGUGAAUCAUAUUAGUAUCUCCAGAAAUUCUGUUUAAUUGAAUAAUUACGUACUUUGGUAUUUCAAUGGUGUAGAAAGCAAAAGGCUAACUUCUAAAAUUUAUCAUCAAGAUCUCCUAGGUAAAAAGUGAACACCAAAUCCUAUGGUACGAGAUGGGAAAAAGUGGGUUUGUAGACAAAACUGCGAUCCGUAUGAAAAAUUCAAUCAACUUAAUUAAGGCAGCGUUUACUUCUCAGAUUGGAUUGAUAAUCUUAAGGAGUAGAAAUCCUGGAAUUAGAAGUGUGAAGUGAGAGUGAGAGUAGGUUAUUUACUUGCACUGAAAUGAUAGUGUGAAAUAAAAAUCAGAAUCCUGUUUAUGUGUUUACAUUAUGGGUCGGGUUAUUUAAACUCACUUAAUUGCUCAUUGAACUCAUUUACUGAAUAUACACACUUUUAAAAUUUAAAACAUGCAAUUUUGUUUUACUAACCCAUGUUAAUACCCAAAAUACCCUUAUUAAGCUAAAUUAUCAUAAUUUCUCUAAUCAUUUUCUUUCCACAUCAUUUCUCCAUUUCUUCGUUCUUUUCUUCUUUAUUUCUUGACUUUUUCCCAUCACUAUUUUAUCCCAAAUUCUUGAACUUUUUAUUUU
rnacentral:lncRNA from 1 species